rnacentral:rRNA from 1 species
CCAACAGGGAUUGCCCUAGUAACGGCGAGUGAAGCGGCAACAGCUCAAAUUUGAAAUCUGGCUCUUUUAGAGUCCGAGUUGUAAUUUGCAGAGGGCGCUUUGGCUUUGGCAGCGGUCCAAGUUCCUUGGAACAGGACGUCACAGAGGGUGAGAAUCCCGUACGUGGUCGCUGGCUAUUGCCGUGUAAAGCCCCUUCGACGAGUCGAGUUGUUUGGGAAUGCAGCUCUAAAUGGGAGGUACAUUUCUUCUAAAGCUAAAUAUUGGCCAGAGACCGAUAGCGCACAAGUAGAGUGAUCGAAAGAUGAAAAGCACUUUGGAAAGAGAGUCAAACAGCACGUGAAAUUGUUGAAAGGGAAGCGCUUGCAGCCAGACUUGCUUACAGUUGCUCAUCCGGGUUUUUACCCGGUGCACUCUUCUGUAGGCAGGCCAGCAUCAGUUUGGGCGGUAGGAUAAAGGUCUCUGUCACGUACCUCCUUUCGGGGAGGCCUUAUAGGGGAGACGACAUACUACCAGCCUGGACUGAGGUCCGCGCAUCUGCUAGGAUGCUGGCGUAAUGGCUGUAAGCGGCCCGUCUUGAAACACGGACCAAGGAGUCUAACAUCUAUGCGAGUGUUUGGGUGUCAAGCCCGAGCGCGUAAUGAAAGUGAACGGAGGUGGGAACCCGCAAGGGUGCACCAUCGACCGAUCCUGAUGUCUUCGGAAGGAUUUGAGUAAGAGCAUGGCUGUUGGGACCCGAAAGAUGGUGAACUAUGCUUGAAUAGGGUGAAGCCAGAGGAAACUCUGGUGGAGGCUCGCAGCGGUUCUGACGUGCAAAUCGAUCGUCAAAUUUGGGCAUAGGGGGCGAAAGACUAAU